GAGAGGAAUUUGAAAAGAUAGAACUCUUACGCGGGUGGAUGUCCAUUGCUUUGGUUUAGCGAGAUCGAGAAGAAAUUUGUUGGAGAAGUCAAAGGAAGACGGUGUGGUGUGGUAGCUGCAACAGAAAAGUGUAAGGAAGCAAAUAGCAUGGAAAUGAGGGUAUAAGAUGAGGAAACGUACACGUUCGUCUUAGUUGAGAUUGUGUUGUAGAAUAGAUCCCACUCGAGACCUGGAAGUGGCGAGAUGAGUGUAAGCGCAUGGAUUAUUGGAGAUUUGGAUAAUUCAUUAGCAAGGUGGUUCUCGUCCAAAGAUGGAACGUGGCUCUCCACAUCUUUUGUCGCCGUUAGGUCGACAACUCCAGGGGUGUUUUGUUCCUGAAAAUGUGAACAUAUUUGCUUCAAGUAUUUCAGAGGGAGUAGUCAAGCAAUAAAUGGCGAGUAGGCUGCAUAUUACCUUAAAGAGCAAGGGAGGGUGGAGAGUUGGAGGAAGCUGUAGCUGUGAAAGCAUUGACGGUAGUAGCAUGAACGG
rnacentral:lncRNA from 1 species